GAUUAAGUUAUUAAGGGCGCACGGUGGAUGCCUUGGCACUAGAAGCCGAUGAAGGACGUUACUAACGACGAUAUGCUUUGGGGAGCUGUAAGUAAGCUUUGAUCCAGAGAUUUCCGAAUGGGGAAACCCAGCAUGAGUUAUGUCAUGUUAUCGAUAUGUGAAUACAUAGCAUAUCAGAAGGCACACCCGGAGAACUGAAACAUCUUAGUACCCGGAGGAAGAGAAAGAAAAUUCGAUUCCCUUAGUAGCGGCGAGCGAAACGGGAAGAGCCCAAACCAACAAGCUUGCUUGUUGGGGUUGUAGGACACUCUAUACGGAGUUACAAAGGACGACAUUAGACGAAUCAUCUGGAAAGAUGAAUCAAAGAAGGUAAUAAUCCUGUAGUCGAAAAUGUUGUCUCUCUUGAGUGGAUCCUGAGUACGACGGAGCACGUGAAAUUCCGUCGGAAUCUGGGAGGACCAUCUCCUAAGGCUAAAUACUCUCUAGUGACCGAUAGUGAACCAGUACCGUGAGGGAAAGGUGAAAAGCACCCCGGAAGGGGAGUGAAAUAGAACCUGAAACCGUGUGCUUACAAGUAGUCGAGAGCCCGUUAAUGGGUGAUGGCGUGCCUUUUGUAGAAUGAACCGGCGAGUUACGAUUUGAUGCAAGGUUAAGCAGUAAAUGUGGAGCCGUAGCGAAAGCGAGUCUGAAUAGGGCGUUUAGUAUUUGGUCGUAGACCCGAAACCAGGUGAUCUACCCUUGGUCAGGUUGAAGUUCAGGUAACACUGAAUGGAGGACCGAACCGACUUACGUUGAAAAGUGAGCGGAUGAACUGAGGGUAGCGGAGAAAUUCCAAUCGAACCUGGAGAUAGCUGGUUCUCUCCGAAAUAGCUUUAGGGCUAGCCUCAAGUGAUGAUUAUUGGAGGUAGAGCACUGUUUGGACGAGGGGCCCCUCUCGGGUUACCGAAUUCAGACAAACUCCGAAUGCCAAUUAAUUUAACUUGGGAGUCAGAACAUGGGUGAUAAGGUCCGUGUUCGAAAGGGAAACAGCCCAGACCACCAGCUAAGGUCCCAAAAUAUAUGUUAAGUGGAAAAGGAUGUGGCGUUGCCCAGACAACUAGGAUGUUGGCUUAGAAGCAGCAUCAUUUAAAGAGUGCGUAAUAGCUCACUAGUCGAGUGACACUGCGCCGAAAAUGUACCGGGGCUAAACAUAUUACCGAAGCUGUGGAUUGUCCUUUGGACAAUGGUAGGAGAGCGUUCUAGGGCGUUGAAGAUGAUCGUAGGACAUGUGGAGCGCUUAGAAGUGAGAAUGCCGGUGUGAGUAGCGAAAGACGGGUGAGAAUCCCGUCCACCGAUUGACUAAGGUUUCCAGAGGAAGGCUCGUCCGCUCUGGGUUAGUCGGGUCCUAAGCUGAGGCCGACAGGCGUAGGCGAUGGAUAACAGGUUGAUAUUCCUGUACCACCUAUAAUCGUUUUAAUCGAUGGGGGGACGCAGUAGGAUAGGCGAAGCGUGCGAUUGGAUUGCACGUCUAAGCAGUAAGGCUGAGUAUUAGGCAAAUCCGGUACUCGUUAAGGCUGAGCUGUGAUGGGGAGAAGACAUUGAGUCUUCGAGUCGUUGAUUUCACACUGCCGAGAAAAGCCUCUAGAUAGAAAAUAGGUGCCCGUACCGCAAACCGACACAGGUAGUCAAGAUGAGAAUUCUAAGGUGAGCGAGCGAACUCUCGUUAAGGAACUCGGCAAAAUGACCCCGUAACUUCGGGAGAAGGGGUGCUCUUUAGGGUUAACGCCCAGAAGAGCCGCAGUGAAUAGGCUCAAGCGACUGUUUAUCAAAAACACAGGUCUCUGCUAAACCGUAAGGUGAUGUAUAGGGGCUGACGCCUGCCCGGUGCUGGAAGGUUAAGAGGAGUGGUUAGCUUCUGCGAAGCUACGAAUCGAAGCCCCAGUAAACGGCGGCCGUAACUAUAACGGUCCUAAGGUAGCGAAAUUCCUUGUCGGGUAAGUUCCGACCCGCACGAAAGGCGUAACGAUUUGGGCACUGUCUCAACGAGAGACUCGGUGAAAUCAUAGUACCUGUGAAGAUGCAGGUUACCCGCGACAGGACGGAAAGACCCCGUGGAGCUUUACUGUAGCCUGAUAUUGAAAUUCGGCACAGCUUGUACAGGAUAGGUAGGAGCCUUUGAAACGUGAGCGCUAGCUUACGUGGAGGCGCUGGUGGGAUACUACCCUAGCUGUGUUGGCUUUCUAACCCGCACCACUUAUCGUGGUGGGAGACAGUGUCAGCGGCGGGCAGUUUAGACUGGGGCGGUCGCCUCCUAAAAGGUAACGGAGGCGCUCAAAGGUUCCCUCAGAAUGGUUGGAAAUCAUUCAUAGAGUGUAAAGGCAUAAGGGAGCUUGACUGCGAGACCUACAAGUCGAGCAGGGUCGAAAGACGGACUUAGUGAUCCGGUGGUUCCGCAUGGAAGGGCCAUCGCUCAACGGAUAAAAGCUACCCCGGGGAUAACAGGCUUAUCUCCCCCAAGAGUUCACAUCGACGGGGAGGUUUGGCACCUCGAUGUCGGCUCAUCGCAUCCUGGGGCUGUAGUCGGUCCCAAGGGUUGGGCUGUUCGCCCAUUAAAGCGGUACGCGAGCUGGGUUCAGAACGUCGUGAGACAGUUCGGUCCCUAUCCGUCGUGGGCGUAGGAAAUUUGAGAGGAGCUGUCCUUAGUACGAGAGGACCGGGAUGGACAUACCUCUGGUGUACCAGUUGUCGUGCCAACGGCAUAGCUGGGUAGCUAUGUGUGGACGGGAUAAGUGCUGAAAGCAUCUAAGCAUGAAGCCCCCCUCAAGAUGAGAUUUCCCAACUUCGGUUAUAAGAUCCCUCAAAGAUGAUGAGGUUAAUAGGUUCGAGGUGGAAGCAUGGUGACAUGUGGAGCUGACGAAUACUAAUCGAUCGAAGACUUAAUCAA
rnacentral:rRNA from 1 species